rnacentral:misc_RNA from 1 species
CCGAGUGAGGGCCCUCUGGGUCCAACCUCCCACCCGUGUCUAUCAUACCAUGUUGCUUCGGCGCGCCCGCCUCACGGCCGCCGGGGGGCUCCCGCCCCCGGGCCCGCGCCCGCCGAAGCCCCCUCUGAACGCUGUCUGAAGAUUGCAGUCUGAGCGAAUUAGCAAAAUAUAUUUA